rnacentral:rRNA from 1 species
GACGAACGCUGGCGGCGUGCUUAACACAUGCAAGUCGAACGGAAAGGCCCUGCUUUUGUGGGGGGCUCGAGUGGCGAACGGGUGAGUAACACGUGAGUAACCUGCCCUUGACUUUGGGAUAACUUCAGGAACCUGGGGCUACUACCGGAUAGGAGCUCCUGCUGCAUGGUGGGUGUUGGAAAGUUUCGGCGGUUGGGGAUGGACUCGCGGCUUAUCAGCUUGUUGGUGGGGUAGUGGCUUACCAAGGCUUUGCCGGGUAGCCGGCCUGAGAGGGUGACCGGCGACAUUGGGACUGAGAUACGGCCCAGACUCCUACGGGAGGCAGCAGGGGGGAAUAUUGCACAAUGGGCGGAAGCCUGAUGCAGCAACGCCGCGUGCGGGAUGACGGCCUUCGGGUUGUAAACCGCUUGCGCCUGUGACGAAGCGUGAGUGACGGUAAUGGGUAAAGAAGCACCGGCUAACUACGUG